UAGUCCCGACCGUAAACGGUGCACACUUGGGGUUGGGGGAUUUCACCCCUCCAGUCCCGGAGCUAACGCGUUAAGUGUGCCGCCUGGGGAGUACGGCCGCAAGGUUAAAACUCAAAGAAAUUGACGGGGCCCGCACAAGCAGAGGAGCAUGUGGCUUAAUUCGAUGCAACGCGAAGAACCUUACCCGGGUUUGACAUAUAACUGCACGUCCAUGGAAACAUGGAUUCCUUCGAGGGUGUUAUACAGGUGCUGCAUGGCUGUCGUCAGUUCGUGUCGUGAGAUGUUGGGUUAAGUCCCGUAACGAGCGCAACCCUUGUCCUUAGUUGCCAGCACGUAAUGGUGGGAACUCUAAGGAGACUGCCGGUGACAAACCGGAGGAAGGUGGGGAUGACGUCAAGUCAUCAUGGCCCUUAUGGGGCUGGGGCUACACACGUACUACAAUGGGCAUAAACAAUGGGGCAGCGACAUCGCGAGAUGAAGCG
rnacentral:rRNA from 1 species